GAUGAACGCUAGCUACAGGCUUAACACAUGCAAGUCGCGGGGCAGCAUGGGGGUUGCUUGCAAUCCCCGAUGGCGACCGGCGCACGGGUGAGUAACGCGUAUUCAACCUGCCCUUCACCACGGGAUAACCCGGCGAAAGUCGGACUAAUACCGUAUGUUGUCCAUUGACGGCAUCCGAUUUGGACGAAAGGCUUGGCGGUGAGGGAUGGGGAUGCGUCCGAUUAGCCAGACGGCGGGGUAACGGCCCACCGUGGCUACGAUCGGUAGGGGUUCUGAGAGGAAGGUCCCCCACACUGGAACUGAGACACGGUCCAGACUCCUACGGGAGGCAGCAGUGAGGAAUAUUGGUCAAUGGGCGUAAGCCUGAACCAGCCAAGUAGCGUGCAGGAUGACGGCCCUAUGGGUUGUAAACUGCUUUUAUGCGGGGAUAAAGUGGCCCACGCGUGGGCUUUUGCAGGUACCGCAUGAAUAAGGACCGGCUAAUUCCGUG
rnacentral:rRNA from 1 species